rnacentral:rRNA from 1 species
AUGGGAUUCCGUGAUAUCCACUGCUUCAACCUAGCUUUGCUCGCCAAACAAGCAUGGCGUCUUAUUGAUAAUCCUGAUUCCUUGUGUGCCACUAUUUUGAGGGCCAAGUACUACCCUGAUGGCGAUUUGCUGAAGUCUAAGCCAAAGCGUGGUGCUUCUUUCACCUGGCAGAGCAUUAUGGCAGGUAUAACUACUCUGAAACGUGGCUAUAUUUGGCGAGUGGGUAAUGGACAUAACAUCAAUAUCUGGGAAGAUGCCUGGAUCCCAAACUGUGUCACUAGGAAGAUUGUGACCCCUAGGGGGAGCCAUUUGCUAUCAAAAGUGAGUGACCUGAUUGACCCUGCUUCCAACAAUUGGGACGAGGAACUGAUUAGACAAACUAUGUGGCCCAUUGACGCACAACGAAUUCUUUCAAUCCCACUUUCGCAAUAUGAUAUGACAUAUUUCAUUGCCUGGAGUUACACAAAAAAUGGUAUGAUCUCGGUAAGGUCUGCUUACUCGGUGGAAUGUAAUUAUCAGUACGGGAGUAGACUCAAAUAUUCUAAUGGGAUGGGGCGAAGCAUACCAAAUCCUAUUUGGUGUCAGAUAUGGAAGUUAUCCUGCCCAGCAAAAGUUAAAAUUUUUAUAUGGUGUACAUUACAUGGCACUCUCCCAUGCCGGGUAACACUCGCUAAUAGACACAUGAAGUUCUCGCCCUCUUGCCCGACUUGCUCUUGGGGUUUAGAAGAUACGAAGCACAUGCUUUUCCUCUGUAGUAAAGCAAAGGAGGUUUGGAAGAGACUAGGGAUGGAUGUGAUUAUUGAUAAAGCUUGUGAGGUUGAUCUUGCCGGGGAGGCAAUAUUGGAAUACCUUCUACUUCUUCCAGACCAAGACUUGAGUAUUAUGGGGUACCAAAAUGUACGUGAAAUGAUAGCUAUUUCAGCUUGGUACCUAUGGUGGGAAAGACGAAAGUUAGUGCAUAAGGAAUUAACUCAGAAUGCAAAUCAGAUAGCAAUAGGGAUCAUAGCUCUCACAUCCAACUUUGUAAAUGCAUCAUCUCCAAAGGCCACGAUGAAAAAGGGGGGUUGGUACUGCCCUCCUAGGGGUUUUGUGAAACUUAAUGUUGACUUUUGA